CCGUCUUGAAACACGGACCAAGGAGUCUAGCAUGUGCGCGAGUCAUUGGGAUCUUUGAAUAAACCCAGAGGCGAAAUGAAAGUGAAAGGCGGUCGCCUCCGUGCACCGCCACCAGGGAAGAUACGCGCGCGUCUCCGCACGCGCCGUCGCAUUCCCGAGGCGUCUCGAGAAAGUCACCGUGCGAUUAUCGAGACGCACUGAGAGCGUACACGCUGGGACCCGAAAGAUGGUGAACUAUGCCUGGUCAGGUCGAAGUCAGGGGGA
rnacentral:rRNA from 1 species